CCGCUGAUGUCAGGGACUGGGCGGCCGCUCUAGGGGCCUGCCCGAUGCGCUGGGGGAAAAUGCUGGAGCGCGGGUCCCCGCGGGCCCACGGGGAAGCGAAGGGCAGAAACGGGGGCCUUUCGAGCCAGCCUGAGCCUGAGUGCAAGCUCUGUCCCUUAGAGCUCGGGACUAGGCGCUUUUGGGCGCAAAGCGAGUCGCCCACAGAACUCGCGCGCUGGAGGAGACCUGAGUCUGGGAGGGGAGAGAUUUGGAGAAACCGCGUCUCAGCUCCAUGAAGGCAGUGGUUUUUGUCUGUUCUCUGCUGUAUUCCCAGUGCCUGAAAUGUGGUUGGCAGGAAACUUUCGUUUUGGCCACACAUGUACGUGUGGGCACGCAGGCAUGUGUGUGCGUCUCUGUGUGUGCAUGCACUGGAUCUUUAUGCAAAGGAUGUAUGGGAACCACAGAAAGUUUUCCCACUUGGAUCUAUUAACUGCAGGACGGACGACCUUCACAUGGCCACAGCCUGUCGUAACAAACUGGUCAAUGCACGUACUCAACAUCCAGACCACAGGCCCUUGGUGGCCCUGAAGGGAGCAGUUAAGCAAAGGAAAGAACUAAAGCAUUGGGAUGGUGAGGAAAAAAAGAAGAGAAAAACAAUUCAGGA